CCAGUUGUCGCCCAGGGGCGGGGCCCCGCGGCGUUUGCCGGAAGUUGUAGGCACGCGUGCUCAAGCGCCACGCUGAAGCGUUUUUGGGUCUGCGUCUCAUGUGGGCUCCCUGGCGUUGCUCACUGAAGGUUCUCAUACAUGCUCCUUGCGGCUCUUGCAGCUGUUGUUUCUUCUUUCAGAGAAAUAAUGCUGGCUAAUAGCGCCUCAGGCAAAAAAUAAAACCUUGCCAGAAAAUAGACUCCUGGAGGACGAAAUGUCAUAGCCUUCCUGAUGUGACCCUGCGGACUGACUCGCUCGCUCUGUCUGUUAUGUAAGUCAUAUACAGUAUAGGCCAGAAGCAAACACCAAGAUGGGAGUAUACAUAUAUGUGCUUUGUCAGGGAAAUGCCUGUGUGGAAACAUCUCAGGGAACCAGAGGAGGCUGGGAGUCUCAGACCGUGAGGAAGGGGAUCUUCUCAACCCAAGGAUGGAACUGGCGUGUCUUACAUCUAACCUGCACUGGCAGGUGGCGAGGUUUCGUGGUAAACCUGCAUUUACCACUAGCGCCACCUGGGAAAGCCCAAAAAGUGGGAACCAAACUUCUGACUAUAACCAGCCACGUGGACCUGGUGAGAACCAGACUCUUCUGAAACUGAUGUGAGUCUCUGUUUUCUCAAAUCUCAGAAAGCUGGUAACAGAUACUACUAUUGUUAAUACAUGGAUUAAAGGUGUUGAUUCAUUCCAUACA